rnacentral:rRNA from 1 species
GACGGAGGAUGCAAGCGUUAUCCGGAAUGAUUGGGCGUAAAGCGUCCGCAGGUGGCCGUUCAAGUCUGCUGUCAAAGACCGGGGCUUAACUUCGGAAAGGCAGUGGAAACUGAACAGCUAGAGUAUGGUAGGGGCAGAGGGAAUUCCUGGUGUAGCGGUGAAAUGCGUAGAGAUCAGGAAGAACAUCGGUGGCGAAGGCGGCCAGCUAGACCAGUUCUGACACUGAGGCGCGACAGCGUGGGGAGCAAACAGG